rnacentral:pre_miRNA from 15 species
UGGGGAUUCCAGUGAGAUAUGUUUGAUAUUCUUGGUUGUUACAUUCAAGAGUUCACCCAGGAAUCAAACAUAUUAUUACUGUGAUACCCG